rnacentral:rRNA from 1 species
UACGGAGGGUGCAAGCGUUAUCCGGAUUUACUGGGUUUAAAGGGUGCGUAGGUGGGUAGGAAAGUCAGUGGUGAAAUCUCCGGGCUUAACCCGGAAACUGCCAUUGAUACUAUUUAUCUUGAAUACUUUGGAGGUAAGCGGAAUAUGUCAUGUAGCGGUGAAAUGCUUAGAUAUGACAUAGAACACCGAUUGCGAAGGCAGCUUGCUACACGAUCAUUGACACUGAGGCACGAAAGCGUGGGGAUCAAACAGG